rnacentral:rRNA from 1 species
CCAAUCGAACCCGGAGAUAGCUGGUUCUCCUCGAAAUAGCUUUAGGGCUAGCCUCAUAUAAGUCUUGCGGAGGUAGAGCACUGAAUUUCCUAGGGGGCGUCAAAGCUUACCGAAGAAUAUCAAACUCCGAAUGCCGUGUAGAUGUUGUAUGGGAGUCAGACUGUACGAGAUAAGUUGGACAGUCAAAAGGGAAAGAGCCCAGACCUGCAGCUAAGGCCCCAAAAUGUGUGUUAAGUGGAAAAGGAUGUGGGAUUUCAAAGACAACUAGGAUGUUGGCUUAGAAGCAGCCAUACAUUCAAAGAGUGCGUAAUAGCUCACUAGUCGAGAGGUCCUGCGCCGAAAAUGUCCGGGGCUGAAACACAACACCGAAGCUCAGGAAUGUAUUUAUACAUUGGUAGAGGAGCAUUCUUAAAGGGGCGAAGCAGUACCGAUAAGGAGCUGUGGACUUUUAAGAAGAGAGAAUGCCGGAAUGAGUAGCGAGAUGGAGGUGGGAAUCCUCCAGGCCGAAUAUCUAAGGUUUCCAGGGUAAAGCUGAUCUGCCCUGGGUAAGUCGGGGCCUAAGGCAAGGCUGAGAAGCGUAGCUGAUGGACAACAGGUUUAGAUUCCUGUACCACAUGAUAUCAGAACUGUGGGGACGCAGAGGGAUAAGAUGACCGGGGGACAGAUUCCCGGGCAAGCGUAGGAGGUGUCAGGCAGGCAAAUCCGCCUGACAAGCCAAAGACGUGACGCGGACCGAACUAAAGUAGGGAAGCAUCCGAUUCCAGCUGCCGAGAAAAGCCGCUAUUGUGUAUCAUGUGCCCGUACCGUAAACCGACACAGGUGGAUGAGGAGAGAAUCCUAAGGCCGGCGGGAGAAGCAUUGUUAAGGAACUCGGCAAAAUGACCCCGUAACUUCGGGAGAAGGGGUGCCACAGAGAUGUGGCCGCAGAGAAUAGGCUCAAGCAACUGUUUAGCAAAAACACAGGUCUAUGCGAAACCGAAAGGUGAGGUAUAUGGGCUGACGCCUGCCCGGUGCUGGAAGGUUAAGAGGAGAGGUUAGCGCAAGCGAAGCUUUGAAUUGAAGCCCCAGUAAACGGCGGCCGUAACUAUAACGGUCCUAAGGUAGCGAAAUUCCUUGUCGGGUAAGUUCCGACCCGCACGAAAGGCGUAAUGAUUUGAGCGCUGUCUCGACAAUGCAUCCGGUGAAAUUGAAGUACCAGUGAAGAUGCUGGUUACCUGCGCCAGGACGGAAAGACCCCAUGGAGCUUUACUCCAGCUUGAUACUGGGAUUCGGUAUUGUAUGUACAGGAUAGGUGGGAGGCUGAGAAAUGGUGACGCCAGUCGCCAUGGAGCCGCUGUUGGGAUACCACCCUUGCAGUACUGGAUUUCUAACCAGCAGCCGUGACCCGGCUGGGGGACAAUGUCAGGUGGGGAGUUUGACUGGGGCGGUCGCCUCCGAAAGGGUAUCGGAGGCGCUCAAAGGUUCCCUCAGAAUGGUUGGAAACCAUUCGAAGAGUGCAAAGGCAGAAGGGAGCUUGACUGCGACACCGACGGGUGGAGCAGGUACGAAAGUAGGACUUAGUGAUCCGGUGGUAUUAAGUGGGAAUGCCAUCGCUCAACGGAUAAAAGCUACCCUGGGGAUAACAGGCUUAUCACUCCCAAGAGUUCACAUCGACGGAGUGGUUUGGCACCUCGAUGUCGGCUCAUCGCAUCCUGGGGCUGUAGUAGGUCCCAAGGGUUGGGCUGUUCGCCCAUUAAAGCGGUACGCGAGCUGGGUUCAGAACGUCGUGAGACAGUUCGGUCCCUAUCCGGCGUGGGCGUAGGAUAUCUGAGAGGAGCUGUCCUUAGUACGAGAGGACCGGGAUGGACGGACCGCUGGUGUACCUGUUGCAGUGCCAGGUGCAUGGCAGGGUAGCCAAGUCCGGAAGGGAUAAACGCUGAAGGCAUCUAAGCGUGAAGCCCCCCUCAAGAUGAGAUAUCCCAUUCGAAAGAAGUAAGACCCCUUGAAGACGACGAGGUAGAUAGGGCAGAGGUGGAAGUGCAGUAAUGUAUGGAGCUGACUGCUACUAAUAGGUCGAAGGCUUAACCAA